rnacentral:rRNA from 1 species
AUUGAACGCUGGCGGUAUGCUUAACACAUGCAAGUCGAACGGUAACAGGCCUUCGGGCGCUGACGAGUGGCGGACGGGUGAGUAACGCGUAGGAAUCUGCCUCAUAGUGGGGACAACGUGGGGAAACUCACGCUAAUACCGCAUACGCCCUACGGGGAAAGCGGGGAUCUUCGGACCUCGCGCUAUGAGAUGAGCCUGCGUUAGAUUAGCUAGUUGGUAGGGUAAAGGCCUACCAAGGCGACGAUCUAUAGCUGGUCUGAGAGGACGAUCAGCCACACUGGGACUGAGACACGGCCCAGACUCCUACGGGAGGCAGCAGUGGGGAAUAUUGGACAAUGGGCGCAAGCCUGAUCCAGCAAUACCGCGUGUGUGAAGAAGGCCCUAGGGUUGUAAAGCACUUUCAAUUAGGGA